rnacentral:lncRNA from 1 species
CGGAAACAAGCAAAUGCAACUUCAUUUAGUGUCGGAAGAGAUCUACGGUAGAUAAAGUAGCGAUCAAGGUAGUGGAAAAAUCGUGAAAGCCACAAAGCCAUGACUUUAUGAUUUGACCACCUUCUCACAAACUCCCUGAGACACCUGUGUAAAAUUAAUACACCAUUAACAACUACGAUUGGCAAACAUAUUAUAUAUAAUAUAUACUAUAUAUAUAUAAUCAUUUAAAAAUAUAGAAUAAAGAAUCAUAGUGGUAAUUAAAACAAUCCAAUCCUAGGCAAAUUACCGUUGAAGUAAUGUAGUCUUCAAAAGAUUCGCGAUACUUGUCAUACAACUGUUGAGAGUAAUCAUGUGGCGGUUUCUGCGUGCACAUGUUGAACACGAAUACUGAUAGAACAUCAUGUACUCCUCUGAGCUGAAUGGCGACUCGGGAAGGUCUUCUAGAAUGUUCUUUAACUUUGUUAUGCCUCUCUGCAUCAAGCCCCAUCCUACUUCUAAGUUCAUUGGUUCUCUCUCGCUCAUGCUGACUAUGCAACUUUUAUGAUGCAAUGGAACUAACUAGUGG